rnacentral:rRNA from 1 species
CUACCGAUGGCGAAGGCAGCUUCCUGGCAUCAUACUGACAACUGUGGCUCGAAAAGCGUGGGUAGCAAACAGGAUUAGAUACCCUGGUAGUCCACGCCGUAAACGAUGUCUACUAGUCGUUGGGUCCCUUUGAGGACUUAGUGACGCAGCUAAACGCAAUAAGUAGACCCGCCUGGGGAGUACGGCCGCAAGGUUAAAACUCAAAUGAAUUGACGGGGGCCCGCACAAGCGGUGGAGCAUGUGGUUUAAUUCGAUGCAACGCGAAGAACCUUACCUGGUCUUGACAUAUCUAGAAUCCUGCAGAGAUGCGGGAGUGCCUUCGGGAAUUAGAAUACAGGUGCUGCAUGGCUGUCGUCAGCUCGUGUCGUGAGAUGUUGGGUUAAGUCCCGCAACGAGCGCAACCCUUGUCCUUAGUUACCAGCGGGUUAAGCCGGGAACUCUAAGGAUACUGCCAGUGACAAACUGGAGGAAGGCGGGGACGACGUCAAGUCAUCAUGGCCCUUACGACCAGGGCUACACACGUGCUACAAUGGUAGGUACAGAGGGCAGCUACACAGCGAUGUGAUGCGAAUCUCAAAAAGCCUAUCGUAGUCCAGAUUGGAGUCUGCAACUCGACUCCAUGAAGUAGGAAUCGCUAGUAAUCGCGGAUCAGAAUGCCGCGGUGAAUACGUUCCCGGGCCUUGUACACACCGCCCGUCACACCAUGGGAGUUGAUUGCACCAGAAGUGGAUAGCUUAACCGUAAGGGGAGCGUUCACCACUGGUGUGGUGAUGAAGAAGUGAUCGAGCCUCGCGUCCCAGGCAGGCCCA